GAUGAACGCUAGCUACAGGCUUAACACAUGCAAGUCGAGGGGCAGCAUGGUCUUAGCUCGCUAAGGCCGAUGGCGACCGGCGCACGGGUGAGUAACACGUAUCCAACCUGCCGUCUACUCUUGGACAGCCUUCUGAAAGGAAGAUUAAUACAAGAUGGCAUCAUGAGUCCGCAUGUUCACAUGAUUAAAGGUAUUCCGGUAGACGAUGGGGAUGCGUUCCAUUAGAUAGUAGGCGGGGUAACGGCCCACCUAGUCUUCGAUGGAUAGGGGCUCUGAGAGGAAGGUCCCCCANACUGGAACUGAGACACGGUCCAAACUCCUACGGGAGGCAGCAGUGAGGAAUAUUGGUCAAUGGGCGAGAGCCUGAACCAGCCAAGUAGCGUGAAGGAUGACUGCCCUAUGGGUUGUAAACUUCUUUUAUAAAGGAAUAAAGUCGGGUAUGGAUACCCGUUUGCAUGUACUUUAUGAAUAAGGAUCGGCUAACUCCGUG
rnacentral:rRNA from 1 species